GUAGGUGAACCUGCGGAAGGAUCAUUAAAAAUGAAGCCGGGAAACCGGUCCUUCUAACCCUUGAUUAUCUUAAUUUGUUGCUUUGGUGGGCCGCGCAAGCACUGGCUUCGGCUGGUUAGUGCCCACCAGAGGACCACAACUCUGUAAUAAAUGUCGUCUGAGUACUAUAAAAUAGUUAAAACUUUCAACAACGGAUCUCUUGGUUCUG
rnacentral:misc_RNA from 1 species